rnacentral:rRNA from 1 species
UACGUAGGGGGCAAGCGUUGUCCGGAAUCAUUGGGCGUAAGAAGCGUGUAGGCGGCUUGGCAAGUCUGACGUGAAAUCCUGCGGCUCAACCGCAGGCUGUCGUUGGAAACUGCCUCGCUAGAGUCCGGAAGAGGAGAGCGGAAUUCCUGGUGUAGCGGUGGAAUGCGCAGAUAUCAGGAAGAACACCCGUGGCGAAGGCGGCUCUCUGGGACGGUACUGACGGCUGAGACGCGAAGCGUGGGAGCGAACAGGAUUAAGACUACCGUG